GCUGGGAGUGGUGGCGCACACCUGUAGUCCCAGCUACUGGGAAGCUGAGAUGGGAGGAUCACUUGAGCCCAGGAGGUAGAGGUUGUAGUAACCCAAGAUCGCACCACUGCACUCCAGCCUGGGCAACAGAGAAAGACCCCAUCUCUA
rfam:Homo sapiens chromosome 3, GRCh38 reference primary assembly.